rnacentral:rRNA from 1 species
GAUGAACGCUGGCGGCGUGCCUAACACAUGCAAGUCGAGCGAUGAAACGAUAACAGUACCCUUCUGGUCGUAGCUACGGAGGAGUAGCGGCGGACGGGUGAGUAACACUUUAGUAACCUGCUUUAGACAUUGGGAUAGACCUGGGAAAGCGUGAUUAUUACCAAAGCAAAUUAUAAUAACACAUGUCAUAACUACCAAAACUCCGGUGUGCUAAGAUGGACGCUCGUCUCAUUAGCUAGGUGGUAGGGUAAAAGCAUAUCAAGGCGACGAUGGCUAGCCGGGAUGAGAGAGUGAGCCGACACAUCGGAAGUGAGCAGCAGUCCAAACUCCUACGGGAGGCAGCAGUGGGGAAUAUUGCACAAUGGAGGGAACUCUGAUGCAGCGAGGCCGCGAGAACGAAGAAGGCUGUCGAGUAGUAAAGUUCUUUUAUAUGGGAAGAUAAUGACGGUACCAUAAGAGAAAGCCCCGGCUAACUACGUG